rnacentral:rRNA from 1 species
UUGACAUCCGAUGCUAUUUCUAGAGAUAGAAAGUUACUUCGGUACAUCGGUGACAGGUGGUGCAUGGUUGUCGUCAGCUCGUGUCGUGAGAUGUUGAGUUAAGUCCCGCAACGAGCGCAACCCCUAUUGUUAGUUGCCAUCAUUCAGUUGGGCACUCUAGCGAGACUGCCGGUAAUAAACCGGAGGAAGGUGGGGAUGACGUCAAAUCAUCAUGCCCCUUAUGACCUGGGCUACACACGUGCUACAAUGGUUGGUACAACGAGUUGCGAGUCGGUGACGGCGAGCUAAUCUCUUAAAGCCAAUCUCAGUUCGGAUUGUAGGCUGCAACUCGCCUACAUGAAGUCGGAAUCGCUAGUAAUCGCGGAUCAGCACGCCGCGGUGAAUACGUUCCCGGGCCUU